CCUGGUGGCUCAGAGGGUAGAGCGCCUGCCUGCAAUGCAGAAGACCUGGGUUCGAUCCCUGGGUCAGGA
rnacentral:tRNA from 1 species